GCCGCCACCAGGCUGCCUUCCGGCGCCCUGCGGUUCCCAGCCUGACGCGGCUCGGGGCCCCUGAGGUUAAACACUGGAACCAAAGCUAACGCUAGCAGGCUGCUGAGCUGCUGGUCCUGCACUGAAACGCCUCAUGCAUUCGUGUUUGUUCCUCUGUCAGAAAACGUUUCCAGUUUUCCGGCUCACUGCACUUUGUGAUGAAAUGUGACUUUACAGCAGGACUUUAAAAAUCUGCCUAAAAUUCCAUUCUGGAUCCAGAAAAUUAUCCCAAAAUUAAAGAUCAGAAUGUUUCUUUGUGCUCAUUGCAGGGUCUGUAAUUAGUUACUCGCAUUUACAUCAACAAAAUACAUUUUCCAUUCAGAAAGUCUUUGUUGCUACGUUAUGUAACAAUAGUUGGACGACAUUUUAUAGUUUUUAAUCUGUUCAGGAUCUUCAGAGAGUUUCAGGAAGUCCUGGUCAUUCAUGGAGCUUCUCUGGAAAUAUGGACUCUGGAUGCUGACAUUAGCAUCAGCUGCUACAUGUUAGCAUGCUAUUUUAGGCUAGCAUAGCUUCUCUGAUAGUUAAACUCCUUUUUGCACAACUUGAACACAACAGUAGUGUUUUCCAGCGUCCAAUCAGGUUGGUCAGAAAGAGAAAUGAACCCCAUCAGCUUCGUUCUUGCUGCUGUUAGCGGAUGUAGCCUGUGCGUCAGAUUUGUGGUUGUACCAGAAAUGCAUGACAGCAAAGGUUCCGGCGGAAAACCUAUGAAUAAUUUACAUAAAGGAAAAAAGCAGGUUAACAUUUUUAACACAUUAAAAUCUAUAAAUUAGUCAUAGCCCUAAUUAAAUGCAUACAUUUAUGUCAAAAUGAGUCCGAAUGCAGAAACAAAGAUUUCUACUGUGGUCUCUUCUGUCUGGUUGGUUCUGGAGCAACAUUACAAACUGAUUUUCUCUUUCUGACACGGCGAUUUUCUAAAACAACUAAACUCCAUCUGUCAGCAUUAUAAAUGAAAUAUUCUGCUGAAUUGUGCAUCUCCACUUUUUAUCACCAGUUUUUGCAUUUUUAUUUCCAGGUUUUAAAAACUGAGAUGGACAGGAAGAUCAACAGAUCUUAGAUCCUUGAGUUUGGGAAAUAUUUUAAAGUUUAUUAAGGGAGUUUAAUGUGGGAUGAAGGUUUAAAAUGAUAGAAAAUCAAAUGUUUUCUGUCUCAGAGGUUUAAAGUGUCAGGAAGCUCCAGAGAACCAGGAGGUUCCCCGGAGCAGAGCUCCAGUUUUCUGCCUGGACAGAAGGAAUAUUGUCCUGGUGAUUUUCCCACAGCGUCUUAUCGGAGACAAAAACCCUGCGGAGGUUUUCCUGCUCACAGCUCUUCACGUUCUGAGUUGACUUCCAGUUUCCCUCGGCUGAAUUUGGAUCAGAACAUUUUGUCUCUGAUCAGCAGCGCAGACAGAAGGAAGCAACCUGAGAUGAUUCGGUGACGGCUCAUCCUUCCUGCUGGUCAGGAACAAUGGAGACAGGAAACAAGCUGUGGCAACCAGUGAAAACACAGCGCUGGCCGCCACUUCCUCGGUUCUACCAGAACCGAGACCCUGGAGGGCCCGGAUGGGUCCGUCAGACUCAGACAGGACGUCCUGUCUUCAGACGAGGCUCAGCAGGAAGAGGCAGAGCGAAACGAGCCAUCAGACUGAAAUCACCUUGUUUUGGUUAAAAUGGUUUUCAGUUCAUGAGAAACCAGGAAGCUGAAAAACAACCAACAGGGCCCUCUAGUGGCAGCAGAGGGAAAUUACAGAAACCACACUGAUGAUUCAUCAGUCAGUCUUUUUGAAUUAAAACUGUCAGCAUAAAGUCUAUAUUCAUUUAUUUGUAACAUUAUGUUUCAUAAACCAGACAGAAAGUUAUCAGCAGAGGAAGAAUCAUGUCAGUUACAGAUUAAAAUGUUUCAGUUUUCUGGGUUAUAAUUUACUGUUAAAGCUGCAAUAUCAUCAUGAAA